CUUCAGCAUUGUCAUUAGAUUGCCAGAUGGCAGCGUCCAUCCCUUCCAAGGAGCAUAUCCCUAAGUAGUUCUCUUCGCAUCUAUAAUUGAAUACGGCUCAAAAUACAAUCAUUGCGGCGUAGAAAGAUUAGAGAUAUCAGAUAUGAAGAGAAGAACGCAUAGAAAAAGAAACACCAAACGGGUUUUACCAAAGGAGUGGAAAAAAAUACCCAACGUUGUCAUGAAUCAAGAUUGAACAGAAGCCAAAGUAUGAUGCUUGGAGAUCCUGAAUGAACUUCUUCUUCUUCUUUUUUUUUUUUUUUUUGGUCUCCAAGCAGUAAAACAGAUGUCUUGACAACCUGUGCUGAUUAAAUAUCUGCAGGAUAUUUGCCAAAGACACUGGUGUUUUUUUUAAAGAGGAGGAAGAAGAGAUGGCUGCCUCGUUCUUCCUAGCAACUCUUGUUCUCGACCACCAGUGGUCAAUGAAGGAUAGCCAAACAGCACAUCCAAGUGCAAGUGUUGAAAGAGCAGUGAUGGGCCCAGCUCAACAGCUGCAUUAGACCUCCCAGAUGUUCCUCUCCCUAGCUCAAACCACACCACACCAGCAGGUACUUUGCUGCCCCUCUCAAUCACUUCCAUGAACAAGAUUGCGCAGGCAAGAUUGCACAGAACCUUUUCAUUAGGCGGCUUCUGGUGUUCACGGAAACCGUCUCCCUUUCGAAUCAAGCCAGUCCAGGCACAGCGGGGCGAGGGAGAAGCUUUCGCCCACCUCCCUUUUCUGAGGAACAAGCCAGGGCAACCCUCAAAGAUGCCUCGUCCCGAGCACUGGAGAGCAACUGGGAUUUGCUGGAGAGAAGGGUGAGAAAGGAACCGAGCAACAAAGCAGGCAGAGGGAGUGGGCUUCAGUCCCCGAAGCUGACAUGGAAGAGGGGCUCUGUUGCAUUAAGAAGGGCUGCAACCUUCACGCGCAAUUCUGCUCUACAGCUGCUUUGGGGUGGCUUGGAAGGAUGCCCGACUCCCACUGACCUCUUUCAGAUACGUAGGACCGUUCGUUUCAUUGCUUCCCAUUUUCAGCCUAACAGACCUGUAGAGAGACUUGAAGUAUCUUCAGACAAGCUAGGAGUCUCCUAAAGUGCAGACCAUGAGAGGGAGGGCGAAAGUGUCCUGGUUCUCUAAGAAGGAAGUUUGGACCAAAGCUGGUGGCCAACUGCACCCCUGGGGCUAAUCAUGUCAUGAGAGGGACUCAGAGCAUAAAGGAAAAUUUUAAAAUGGCCAAACACAUCCAGGAUCUGCAGGUGCUGGGCCCAGAGGCUGGAGACACUGCACCAAUUCAUGUAGCUGUGUGAUGCCCAAUUCUCUUCCUCCAAUUAACUUUCAGGACUCACAACCCUGACUUGAAAGCUGAUGUUUCUCUACCUUUAUCUAAUUGUAACUCUGCUCUGAUCGUUUAAGAUUCCUAGCUUCCUCCUCCUCAUUCUCAAACUCAUCAUCAUCACCCCUGUAUAAACAAAUAAGAAUCUCUUA